AUUCUGCCCCUAACAAAUUACUGUGUCAGGAAGAGCAUGGCAACAUGAGCAGUGCUGAGAUAAUUCGUUCUACAAAUCUUAUAAUUCUGCUAGAGGAUGAAAUCUUUGCCGAUUUUUUCAACACAUUUCUUUCCCUCCCGGUUUUUGGUCAGACACCAUUUUAUACUGUUGAAAAUUCACAGUGGAGCUUGUGGCCAGAAAUGCCUUGUAACUUGAUUGCCAAAUACAAAGGGUUAUUGACCUGGUUGGAAAAAUACCGAUUACAUUUCUUCUGUAAAACAAACUUGUGUUUCCAUUACAUUCUCUGUCAGGAGUUCAUCAGUUUCAUUAAGUCCCCAGAAGGAGCCAAGAUGAUGAGAUGGAAAAAGGCAGACCAGUGGCUACUCCAGAAAUGCAUUGGCGGGGUCAGAGGGAUGUGGCGCUUCUAUUCCUACCUCACAGGCAGUGCAGGUGAAGAAUUGGUGGAUUUCUGGAUCCUCACUGAGAAGAUCCUGAGCAUAGAUGAGAUGGACCUGGAAGUGAGAGACUACUACCUGUCCCUCCUCCUCAUGCUGAGGGCCACUCAUCUGCAGGAGGGUUCCAGGGUGGUAACCCUCUGUAACAUGAACAUCAAGUCCCUCCUGAACCUCUCCAUCUGGCAUCCCAACCAGUCAACCACUAGGAGGGAGAUCCUGAGCCACAUGCAGAAAGUGGCUCUGUUCAAACUCCAGAGCUAUUGGCUUCCCAACUUUUACACCCACACCAAGAUGACCAUGGCCAAGGAGGAAGCGUGCCAUGGUCUGAUGCAAGAGUACGAGACUCGCUUAUACAGCGUUUGCUAUACCCACGUAGGAGGGCUCCCUCUGAACAUGAGCAUCAAGAAGUGCCACCACUUUCAGAAACGGUACUCAAGCAGGAAAGCCAAGAGGAAGAUGUGGCAAUUGGUAGAUUCUGACUCUUGGUCUCUGGAAAUGGACCUCAAGCCAGAUGCUAUUGGUAUGCCCCUACAGGAGACAUGUCCUCAAGAGAAGGUGGUUAUACAAAUGCCUUCCCUGAAAAUGGCUUCUUCAAAGGAAACAAGAAUCAGUUCCCUGGAAAAGGAUAUGCAUUAUGCAGAAAUAUCCAGCAUGAAGAAUAAAGCCAAGAGCCACCUCCACAUGGAAGCCCUCUUUGAGACAAAGGUCUCUACUCACCUGAGGACUGUCAUCCCCAACAUCAAUCACUCCUCCAAGAUGACAAUUCAGAAGGCCAUCAAGCAAAGCUUCUCCUUAGGAUACAUCCACUUGGCCUUGUGUGCUGAUGCCUGUGCAGGGAACCCUUUCCGGGACCACCUGAAGAAGCUGAAUUUGAAAGUGGAGAUCCAACUUCUUGACCUCUGGCAGGACCUGCAGCAUUUCCUCAGUGUCCUUCUGAAUAACAAAAAGAAUGGGAAUGCAAUCUUUCGUCACUUGCUGGGUGACAGAAUCUGUGAGCUCUACCUGAAUGAGCAGAUUGGUCCACGCUUACCACUCAAAUCCCAAACCAUUCAGGGCCUGAAGGAACUAUUGCCUUCUGGGGAUGUAAUCCCCUGGAUUCCCAAAGCCCAGAAGGAGAUUUGCAAGAUGCUCAGUCCCUGGUAUGAUGAGUUUCUGGAUGAAGAGGACUACUGGUUUCUCCUUUUUACGGUAGGAAGGACUUUGGGUUAGGAAGGAAUCAUGAGGAUGAGGGAAGAAGAGAGAGUAAUUACUGUUUUAAAAGGGUUGUGUGUUAAAGUAAAUGAAAUUGUUAUUUUUCCUAGAGUCAACCAAAGAUUGGCAUGGUCCCUGUUGUUCUAAAGCUAAACCUCUCAAAGAAAAGGACUCAGUGCAUAAGAUG
rnacentral:sRNA from 1 species